UUGUGUGUUCGAAGUUUGGUUGCGCGUUGCGCGAUUACUUGCUAGUUGCAAGCAGUUAUUUUUAUCGGUGUACUGCUACAAAUUAUUCGAUUGUUGUAAAAGACGUCUCCAGGGCUAUUACGAGUCAUAACAUAUCAAAAUUGAUGAAAAUACGUCCUAAAAUAAUCUCCCUUCGUUGUCUCAUACCAUUAUUAUAUAUACUGUCUGAUGUUUUGGAGCAUUAGUAACAUCCAGUACUGGUGCGAGGAUACAAGUGAGUUGGCUUCCAUUCGGACGUCUACGAUGAGACGAUGGACAGGGUGAGGCCUCGGCGUUGAUACAGAGUGCACUGGUGGUGGCAGAAUACAGCACGACCCCAGUGCCAAGGUCAUCAAAGUGUACAGCUACUCACAGGGGUUUGGGAAGGCAGACCACAGCAAGACUGUAGAAAUUCUGAAGACUGCAUAUCCUGUUU